UUGGCGGACGGGUGAGUAACGCGUGGAUAACCUGCCGUAUACCGGGGGAUAACACUUAGAAAUAGGUGCUAAUACCGCAUAAGCGCACGGCUCCGCAUGGGGCAGUGUGAAAAACUCCGGUGGUAUACGAUGGAUCCGCGUCUGAUUAGCUAGUUGGCGGGGUAACGGCCCACCAAGGCAGCGACCAGUAGCCGGCCUGAGAGGGUGGACGGCCACAUUGGGACUGAGACACGGCCCAAACUCCUACGGGAGGCAGCAG
rnacentral:rRNA from 1 species